rnacentral:tRNA from 1 species
GCCUGGCUGGCUCAGUCCGUAGAGCAUGUGACUUGUGAUCUUGAGGUUGUGAGUUCAAGCCCCAUGUUGGCUG